rnacentral:rRNA from 1 species
UACGUAGGGUGCAAGCGUUGUCCGGAAUUAUUGGGCGUAAAGAGCUCGUAGGCGGUUCGUCGCGUCGGCUGUGAAAUCCCGAGGCUCAACCUCGGGUCUGCAGUCGAUACGGGCGGACUGGAGUUCGGCAGGGGAGACUGGAAUUCCUGGUGUAGCGGUGAAAUGCGCAGAUAUCAGGAAGAACACCCGUGGCGAAGGCGGUUCUCUGGGACGGUACUGACGCUGAGACGCGAAAGCGUGGGGAGCGAACAGG